rnacentral:rRNA from 1 species
UACGUAGGUGGCAAGCGUUAUCCGGAUUUAUUGGGUGUAAAGGGCAUGUAGGCGGGAGCGCAAGUCAGAUGUGAAAACUCAGGGCUCAACCCUGAGCCUGCAUUUGAAACUGUGUUUCUUGAGUGCUGGAGAGGCAAUCGGAAUUCCGUGUGUAGCGGUGAAAUGCGUAGAUAUACGGAGGAACACCAGUGGCGAAGGCGGAUUGCUGGACAGUAACUGACGCUGAGGCGCGAAAGCGUGGGGAGCAAACAGG